GCCUCCUCUCCUCCCCACUCCCUCCUCUCCCAGGCCGCCGCCCUCGACACGCCGCCAGGGUGCCAUCGACACGUCAGGGAUAGGCAGUGGUGGAGCGCAGCCCGAGCCCAGCAGCAGUCCACUCCUAACCCCAAGCAAGAGCGAGCAGCGGAUUGGAUCAAGGGAGCCCUCGCGGCCACGCCACUGGCGCCUGGAUUUGCUAGCCGUCGCCUGGAUCCGCCCUAGCCGCCGCCUCGAGUCACCUCCAUCGUUGAUGUGGGUCAACCCCACCGCUGCCGCCAGGAAUCCCAUCCCGGCAAGGUAACUUCCUCCAAAUCUCUUCUCUCCCUGUUCCUCCUGCCCUGCUCGCUGCGUGUGUGUUCUGUGUGUGCCGCGGGUCGUGCCUCGCAUGCCUCGUAUGCAGUUCGUGCGAGAAAGCAACCUUACAGCCCUCCCUCCUCCUUUCCAUCCACUCUCGUCAUGCCUCCUCCCCUUUCUCCCCAGCCGGCGGUGCCUCCUCCCCGUGCGCCCACGGUCUCCCAUGCGCUCAACCCGGCCAACCUCAGUCCCCUCACCCUCUGGUCGCCGUCCUCCCGCGCCCUCACCCGCUGGUGGCCCUCCCAUGCAUCUCGGGCUUGAUGGCUGCUUCCCCACCUCGCCCCUUCAGCUCCGCCAUCGCCUCCCUCCCUUGCUGAUAUCCAUCUUAUCUCUUUUUGCAGGGGGCUUGUCCUUCGGUGGUGGUCAUCCGCCGUUUGAGAUUGGAGGGAGACUAGGAGACCCUGGCGGAAGCGAGCCUGCUAGCGGAGGCUCCAGGGAUGCUAGGUGAUAGGGCCCAGUCCAUGGACCGGUUGUGCUGCUGGGUGAGCUUAUUCACCCUUCUUGUCAACGAGUUGUUCAUAUCUAGCGAGGUUCCUGCAAUUUUUUGUUUAUUUUAGUUGGCCGGAUGCUCAGAUUUAGCUAGGCUUUCAUAUAGGAUUUUUUUACCUUUUAAGUUUGUUGGGUACCUCGGAUAAGUUUCUGCAAAGGGGAUUUUUGUUUGUUCCUGCUCAGGAGAUGCUCUCUAACCUAGCUAGAUUCAUAAAAAAAUUGUUUCCUUUUUUAGCUUGUUUGGUAGCUUGCUCUUUCCUCCUCAAGAAGGGGAUCAAUUUGCCAUGGACCUCCUUUCCCCACUAUAAAGGAGGCUUUUGUUCCUUUGCUUGAUGUGUUUCCCUCUUUUUGAUUGUAGGAUUUUCAGGAUGAGCCUUCCUAUCCAAAAUUAUCGGAUAAAUUCAACAUAUCUGUGGAAAUCUAGGUAUGAGAUGGUUUUUUUCUAUCUUGUGUUCUUACAUAAUUUAAUAGCAAAAUUACUGAAUCAUAGAAGUUGUUAGUAAUUUUGCCUUUAUACUGCAUAUUAAUUCAUUCUUUUGGGUAGGUAACUAAACUCCUUUAAUUUUACUGAAUCAUUGAAGUUGUCUUUGCUAACCUGAGUUUUGCUUUGCAACAAUUUGAUUGCUUGUGUAUUUGUGUAGUUUUCUGCAGAUUCAGACGACUCUGAAUGUUGUUCCAUAACUGAUGACUCAAAAUGAUUAUACACUGAAACCGAAGCCUUUGGAAAAUGAAACAGAAACCUUACUUGAGAGCAGGUAGAGGCGUGGAGCCAAUGGUAUGCACUUGGAUCAAUAUUCUACAGUUAAACAACAUUCAUAUGUUCUAGCAUCUAUAGAUUUACAUUUUCCUUUUAACAGUCUUACAUGUAAAAACUGCAUCCAUUUUGGUAUGUGAUACUGCAAGUGUAAAUUAAGAAAGUAGCCUUUACGGUCUAGCUUCAGUAUCUGUAAAUCAUGAUUACGUACAUACUACAUAAAAAAAUAGAGCAUCCUUAUGCUACCAAAUUAUUUGCUUGAUCUGGCUUGUUGGUUUCUGAAUACUCAAUUUUGUUCUUCUAUUUUAUAGGUGAUGUUGUUGUUGCCUGCUCUUCUAAACUACUGCUUGUUCAUCGUUUGCUGUUUUGCGUAUCAAGGUUUGUGCUUCCUCUUUAAGCUAUAUUUUCUUUUGAUUAUUGUUUUUCUGCAGUUUUCUUCUCUGUGGCAACGUAUUUGGAUCAUGUUUCUCUCUGAAGCAUAUUGGUUGUCUGGCCUUAUCUUUGUACUAGCAGGAAGGUAACUACUCAAAGCAGUUGGCAAGGCAAGCAUUCGAUGGAGCUCAAGCGUUGAU
rnacentral:lncRNA from 1 species